AGAGUUUGAUCCUGGCUCAGGAUGAACGCUAGCUACAGGCUUAACACAUGCAAGUCGAGGGGCAGCGGGAUUGAAGCUUGCUUCAAUUGCCGGCGACCGGCGCACGGGUGAGUAACGCGUAUCCAACCUUCCGUACACUCAGGGAUAGCCUUUCGAAAGAAAGAUUAAUACCUGAUGGUAUGAUGAGAUUGCAUGAUAGCAUCAUUAAAGAUUCAUCGGUGUACGAUGGGGAUGCGUUCCAUUAGGUAGUAGGCGGGGUAACGGCCCACCUAGCCGACGAUGGAUAGGGGUUCUGAGAGGAAGGUCCCCCACAUUGGAACUGAGACACGGUCCAAACUCCUACGGGAGGCAGCAGUGAGGAAUAUUGGUCAAUGGACGAGAGUCUGAACCAGCCAAGUAGCGUGAAGGAUGAAGGUCCUACGGAUUGUAAACUUCUUUUAUAAGGGAAUAAACCCUCCCACGUGUGGGAGCUUGUAUGUACCUUAUGAAUAAGCAUCGGCUAACUCCGUGCCAGCAGCCGCGGU
rnacentral:rRNA from 1 species